GCCCGCCUAGCUCAAUCGGAUAGAGCGUCAGACUCUUACUGAGUGCGGGUGAACAUCGCGAUCCUGCGAUCUGAAGGCUGCGAGUUCGACCCUCGCGGUGGGCU
rnacentral:tRNA from 1 species